rnacentral:rRNA from 1 species
GAGUUUGAUCCUGGCUCAGGAUGAACGCUAGCGGCAGGCCUAACACAUGGAAGUCGAACGGUAACAGCAGAGCUUGCUCUGGCUGACGAGUGGCGCACGGGGGCGUAAUGCGAUCUACCUUUUACAGAGGGAUAGCCUUUAGAAAUGAAGAUUAAUACCUCAUAGUAUGAUGAUAAGGCAGCUUAUUAUUAUUAAAGCUUCGGCGGUAAAAGAUGAGUAUGCGUUCUAUUAGCUAGAUGGUGUGGUAACGGCACACCAUGGCAACGAUAGAUAGGGGCCCUGAGAGGGGGAUCCCCCACACUGGUACUGAGACACGGACCAGACUCCUACGGGAGGCAGCAGUGAGGAAUAUUGGACAAUGGAGGCAACUCUGAUCCAGCCAUGCCGCGUGCAGGAAGACUGCCCUAUGGGUUGUAAACUGCUUUUAUACAGGAAGAAACACUCCCUCGUGAGGGAGCUUGACGGUACUGUAAGAGGAAGCAUCGGCUAACUCCGUGCCAGCAGCCGCGGUAAUACGGAGGAUCCAAGCGUUAUCCGGAAUCAUUGGGUUUAAAGGGUCCGUACGUGGAUAAUUAAGUCAGAGGUGAAAUCCUGCAGCUCAACUGUAGAAUUGCCUUUGAUACUGGUUGUCUUGAGUCAUUAUGAAGUAGUUAGAAUAUGUAGUGUAGCGGUGAAAUGCAUAGAUAUUACAUAGAAUACCAAUUGCGAAGGCAGAUUACUAACAAUAUACUGAGACUGAUGGACGAAAGCGUGGGUAGCGAACAGGAUUAGAUACCCUGGUAGUCCACGCCGUAAACGAUGGAUACUAGCUGUUGGGCUUCUACUGAGUGGCCAAGCGAAAGUGAUAAGUAUCCCACCUGGGGAGUACGUUCGCAAGAAUGAAACUCAAAGGAAUUGACGGGGGCCCGCACAAGCGGUGGAGCAUGUGGUUUAAUUCGAUGAUACGCGAGGAACCUUACCAGGGCUUAAAUGUAGAUUGACAGGGGUGGAAACACCUUUUCCUUCGGGCAAUUUACAAGGUGCUGCAUGGUUGUCGUCAGCUCGUGCCGUGAGGUGUCAGGUUAAGUCCUAUAACGAGCGCAACCCCUGUUGUUAGUUGCCAGCGAGUCAAGUCGGGGACUCUAACAAGACUGCCGGUGCAAACCGUGAGGAAGGUGGGGACGACGUCAAAUCAUCACGGCCCUUACGUCCUGGGCUACACACGUGCUACAAUGGUCGGUACAGCGGGCAGCCACUACGCAAGUAGGAGCGAAUCCACAAAACCGGUCACAGUUCGGAUCGGAGUCUGCAACUCGACUCCGUGAAGCUGGAAUCGCUAGUAAUCGGAUAUCAGCCAUGAUCCGGUGAAUACGUUCCCGGGCCUUGUACACACCGCCCGUCAAGCCAUGGAAGCUGGGAGUAUCUGAAGUCGGUCACCGCAAGGAGCU